rnacentral:rRNA from 1 species
UUGAACGCUGGCGGCAGGCCUAACACAUGCAAGUCGAGCGCGAAAGUUCUUCGGAAUGAGUAAAGCGGCGGACGGGUGAGUAACGCGUGGGAAUCUGCCUGGUAGUGGGGGACAACGUUCGGAAACGAACGCUAAUACCGCAUACGCCCUACGGGGGAAAGGGGGGGAUCUUCGGACCUCUCGCUAUCAGAUGAGCCCGCGCCGGAUUAGCUCGUUGGUGGGGUAAAGGCCUACCAAGGCGACGAUCCGGAACUGGUCGGAGAGGAUGAUCAGUCACACUGGAACUGAGACACGGUCCAGACUCCUACGGGAGGCAGCAGUGGGGAAUAUUGGACAAUGGGGGAAACCCUGAUCCAGCCAUGCCGCGUGUGUGAAGAAGGCCUUAGGGUUGUAAAGCACUUUCAGUGGGGAGAAAGGUUGUUUACUUAAUACGUAAGCAAAUUGAUGUUACCCACAGAAGAAGCACCGGCUAACUCCGUGCCAGCAGCCGCCGUAA